rnacentral:rRNA from 1 species
UACGUAGGGUGCGAGCGUUAAUCGGAAUUACUGGGCGUAAAGCGUGCGCAGGCGGUUUUGUAAGCCAGAUGUGAAAUCCCCGGGCUUAACCUGGGAAUGGCAUUUGGGACUGCAAGGCUUGAGUGCGGCAGAGGAGACUGGAAUUCCUGGUGUAGCAGUGAAAUGCGUAGAUAUCAGGAGGAAUACCGAUGGCGAAGGCAGGUCUCUGGGCUGACACUGACGCUCAUGCACGAAAGCGUGGGUAGCAAACAGG